rnacentral:tRNA from 1 species
GGCUGAGUGGUCUAGUGGUAUGAUUCUCGCUUAGGGUGCGAGGGGUCCCGGGUUCAAUCCCCGACUCAGCCC